CAACUUUCAGCAACGGAUCUCUUGGUUCUCGCAUCGAUGAAAAACGCACCGAAAUGCGAUAAGUAAGGUGAAUUGCAAAAUUCAGUGAAUCAUCAAAUCUUUGAACGCACCUUGCGCCUCUUGGUAUUCCAAGAGGCAUGCCUGUUUGAGUGUCAUUU
rnacentral:rRNA from 1 species